AUACAUGCAGGUCGAACGAAGAUCUCUUGGUAUUCGUACUGGGAGUAUCUUAGUGGCGAACGGGUGAGUAACGCGUUGGUGACCUGCCCCGAAGAGGGGGAUAACACCUGGAAACGGGUGCUAAUACCCCAUGUGGUUGUCUGAGUUAGAGAAGGGCAACUAAAAGGAGUGAUCCGCUUCGGGAUGGGCCUGCGUCCCAUCAGGUAGUUGGUAGGGUAACGGCCUACCAAGCCGAUGACGGGUAGGGGGCCUGAGAGGGUGACCCCCCACACUGGAACUGAAACACGGUCCAGACACCUACGGGUGGCAGCAGUAGGGAAUAUUGCACAAUGGGCGAAAGCCUGAUGCAGCAACGCCGCGUGCCCGAUGAAGGCCUUCGGGUUGUAAAGGGCUUUUCUGAGGGAAGAGAAAGGACGGUACCUCAGGAAUAAGGAUCGGCUAACUACGUGCCAGCAGCCGCGGUAACACGUAGGAUCCAAGCGUUAUCCGAAUUUACUGGGCGUAAAGCGCGUGUAGGCGGUCUGGCAAGUUGGAUGUGAAAUCUCCCGGCUCAACUGGGAGAGGCCGUCCAAAACUGCGAGACUAGAGAGCGGCAGAGGGAGGUGGAAUUCCCGGUGUAGUGGUGAAAUGCGUAGAUAUCGGGAGGAACACCAGAGGCGAAAGCGGCCUCCUGGGCCGCAUCUGACGCUGAGACGCGAAAGCCAGGGGAGCGAACGGGAUUAGAUACCCCGGUAGUCCUGGCCGUAAACGAUGCAGACUAGGCGUUUGGGAGGUAAAACUUCUGAGUGCCGCAGCCAACGCGAUAAGUCUGCCGCCUGGGGAGUACGGUCGCAAGGCUAAAACUCAAAGGAAUUGGCGGGUCCCCGCACAAGCAGCGGAGCGUGUGGUUUAAUUCGAUGCUACGCGAAGAACCUUACCCGGGUUUGACAUGUUGGUGGUAGGGAAACGAAAGUGGACCGACCCUUCGGGGAGCCAACACAGGUGCUGCAUGGCUGUCGUCAGCUCGUGUCGUGAGAUGUCCGGUUAAGUCCGGUAACGAGCGCAACCCUUGCCGUAUGUUACAAGUGUCAUACGGGACUGCCGAUAUAAAGUCGGAGGAAGGCGGGGAUGACGUCAAGUCAGCAUGGCCUUUAUAUCCGGGGCUACACACACGCUACAAUGGCCGGUACAAUAGGUAGCAAAACCGCGAGGUGGAGCCAAUCCGAAAAGCCGGUCAAAGUUCGGAUUGCAGGCUGCAACCCGCCUGCAUGAAGUUGGAGUUGCUAGUAACCGCGCGUCAGCAAUAGUGCGGUGAAUACGUUCCCGGGGAUUGCACACACCGCCCGUCACGUCAUGGAAGCUGGCAACACCUGAAGUCGGUAUCCUAACCCGCAAGGGAGGGAGCCGCUGAGG
rnacentral:rRNA from 1 species